GUAUACUACUUACUGUUCUACAUACAUUCCAGCUAAAGCCCUAACCUCAUUGCCCUAACCCUAAAAUAGCCAAGACUACGCUUGAAGGUCGAGCGAAUUUUAACUUUUCAUUCGACGCAUUUUUGACAUAUUUACCGCAUACGCCUUGCAUUUGACCGAUCCGGUUCACGACAGAUGACCAGAAAUCCCACUGCUCCUAGACUUGUUGAAACGGGUGAUUUGCAACUGUCGUGGAUUGUAAGCGCCGGGGGAGCCUUUUGGAACACAGGCUGUUCUACCGUUCUACAAAUCACCCCAAUUCAACUCAUUCCGAUGGAUGGACUUUAUUAUCCGUUUCAAGCCAAAACCUAGGCAGACUCAGAAAUCGGUCUUAAUCAACUUGCAUGAUUUGUCUAGCUGCACACUACCUAAUUCGUAGCUGAGUACAUCCAACGUACCCACAGAGUCGAAAGUCUAGGUUCCUAUCUACGGAGUAUCUAGAUGACUAACGGUACAGAUGCAUCAACACGACAGUCAUGUACGGAGUAAUGCACCACCCAACGUUAGCCUGCCGAGGUAUGUAUGCAGGGCGUGCAGGUCGGGGUUGCGCAAGGUCAAAUCAUCAUCUGCCUUGAUCUUAACUGUGUCGCUGCAUAUUUAUGAUUAUGAAGGACCUCGUGAAAUAAACAAGUCGGCUGGUUUGUCGCUCACAAUGUGUCAAACUCAAAGCCUGAAACUUAGGCCCACUCCUGGUCUAAUCUAUCGGUCGAUACUUGAUACGUUCGCUGUCAACAAAGUUCCACGAUAAAGUAACUACCAACCAGAUUGAAUCAACAGUAGAAGAAGCGCGCCUGAUUGGCCGCUCACAGAGCUAAGGAAGCCACGGAAACCUAGAAAAAGCCAACAGCGUAACGUGGUCAUGGCAUGACCCCUUUAAUUCCAGCACAAUCCCCGUCCUGAGCAGCCACUCGCCAGGGCCAUAUCUUUGUCCUGCAAGUCUCUGUUCUUGGCACUCGUACUACGUACUUUGGGUGACGGGCGAAUGUGGAUUGGGGUGGGUUAGGUUAGUCAGUGAGCCUUGAUGCCUCCGCCUCACUUUGAGGUCUGAUCACCUUGCCCUUGAUGACAGGUGCUUGGGCUGGGCUGGGUCGAUUCGAUCUGGUCGCCUGGGUGUUGAUUGGUUGUGGGCGGCAGCUGAUGAGGAUGCGCAGAUAUGGACCCCAUCUUGAUUUCUCUAUCAACACGAACUGAGGGCCUCAGUGAGCGCGACGACGAGGACCAUGGCUUGACUACGAGUAGAUGACUAGAUGUACGCCGUACAUGCAGGCAUCCAUCCCUGUUUGUUCUGUCAUCAGCAGGCUGAUUCUCAUUCCACUGUUCUCCUACGAUAGUGAAAUGGAUCGACACUAUUGUAGUAGAAGACGCGGAGAGUACGUCGAAGGUGGAUAAAUCAAGCCAGCACGGAUCAUUGGUUCUCCAAUACUCCGUGGUUGAUAAUCAAUAAUCGAUAAAUUGGAUAACUAUGCAACCCGGAACUUGCUUUUUUUUUACUGGUAAGUUGUAAGUUGUAACUCAGACUGAUCUUGGACAGCGUGCUAUCCAAUUCCAGACCGCCGCUGCCCAAUCAGCAUUCCCUUCCAUGCAGAGUGUUCCGUGCUCGAGUGCAUUAAUGCCUCAGGCUGAUAGGCCUGAUGCCUGGCGACUGAUGGCCUGAUGCAGUCGAUGCAUCAUCGAUUUUGUGAGCAAUCCACUUGUGGCUCCACGAGCCCACAUAAAGUUAGAGGGAGUGCUUACCGCUCUUUUCUCAGGGACGAAUCUUGAUUGUUUUGAGUGGUGUGGAUGGAGUCUCGUGGAGAAACGGAUUAUUGGAUACAAUACGUACUAUAUGGAUAGAUCCAUUUUUCUCCAUGGGAUAGACUCGAACACCAACGUUCAUUCAUGUCCAAGUCUAAGGUAUGUGCUCAAGUCUUGCAUAUCACUGCAUCAUGGCAGGAAUAGCAGCAGCCAAUCAGCGCGCGCGAAACAAAGCACUUGCAGAAGCGAGUCACGGGUGGAGCCUUUCGAGAACAUUGUUGGACAUGCAAGGAGGGCCAGCGCGGCCUCUGAUUGGCGGCUGGCGGCCGGUCGGUGUGGUGUGUUAAGAUGGAACAGGCUGUGACGCGGCCAAUGCGCUUCUUUGACGUGCUUAUUGGCUGCGUCCGACUCUGCCUGCACCAAUGGCUCUCCUCCACGAGACACCUUGUGCGCUGUUCCACGCACCUGGCUUGUUGCCACGCUCGGCUCAUCAGAGAGUAUUACCAGUGCAGGGCGUGCACUACUCCUCCAAAGUGCGUGGCUGGAAGAGCCAGUGCCAUCGUGUGACCAGAUUGGUUUUUCCUUUUCUCCUUUUCAUGCGGCUGUCCGUUCGCAGUUACAGACGCAGGUCGCCACCCGCACUAGGCUCGACUCUCUACGGCCCUGCGACGAGUAAGACUCAGCAAGGCUAGUUAUGUAACUAACUAACUUAGCAAGUUGACUACGUUAGUUGGUUAGUUAGUUCCCUACGUACUCUGGUAAGUUGUUGUAACCAUCAGCCUGCUGCCUGGCUCAGGCUAGCGUGACGAAAAAUAAAUUUGCCUCCACCCGUCCUCCCGUCGGUUGCCGUAAUCGCGACGUCUGCCUGUCUCGAAGAAGAAAAGUGUUGAAUCUCCUGACUCUCAGAGUUUUGCUUUUGCCUAGGUAGCUUUGCCUGCCGAACCCAGCCGUGCCAGCCCACCCCGAUCCAUUGGAUUCCUAUGUAGUAACUCUGUACAAACUACAUGCUACGAGUAGUAGUAGCAUGCACUCUCACUUAACUUGCUCACGGUAGUAGUAACUAUGUCGUAUGUCGCAUUCUGGUCUGGACUGCAUCGACCUGAAGGCUGAUCCUGAUUCCGAUCGUGUCGGGUGAGACAGACGAUAAUUAUAGACCGAGCAUACAGAGCAUAGCAUACAUAGAUAGCAUUACUACGUAGUAUUCCGGCUUACGGAGAGCGCCGGUCGACGAUUGCUCGCAUUACAUAAUGCCCCAGAGCAGAAUCUGCGGAUAGUUACCCUCCGGACGGCGGCGCAUUCUCAUUUCUGGCGCGCUUUUCUUGGGAGGCACCCCUUUUCUCUCGUGAGGACGAUCGCUCGUGGCACUGCCAGAACGGAACCGGGACUAGUCAGUUUAGUUGGUCGGUCUGUGAGUCUAUGACUGCACCUCGAUUAAAAACAGAAACGGGGCAGGGAAUCGCCCCUCUGCCCACUAUCCAGUGUCCACCACUAUGGGCAGCAAAAGCUCGAAGUGGGCCUGCGAGUCACCAUUCGCAGUCAAAGUGGUACGGUACAACCACGACAGGCUUAGCGAUCCUCUCCGACGAGGCCAGAGCU
rnacentral:lncRNA from 1 species